CCGCAGUUAAGCGUGCUUGGG
rnacentral:siRNA from 1 species